GACGAACGCUGGCGGCGUGCCUAACACAUGCAAGUCGAGCGGAACUGUUUUGAAAGAUUUCUUCGGAAUGAAUUUGAUUUAGUUUAGUGGCGGACGGGUGAGUAACGCGUGAGUAACCUGCCUUCAAGAGGGGAAUAACAUUCUGAAAAGAAUGCUAAUACCGCAUGACAUAUCGGAACCACAUGGUUUUGAUAUCAAAGAUUUUAUCGCUUGAAGAUGGACUCGCGUCCGAUUAGUUAGUUGGUGAGGUAACGGCUCACCAAGACCGCGAUCGGUAGCCGGACUGAGAGGUUGAACGGCCACAUUGGGACUGAGACACGGCCCAGACUCCUACGGGAGGCAGCAGUGGGGGAUAUUGCGCAAUGGGGGCAACCCUGACGCAGCAACGCCGCGUGAAGGAUGAAGGUUUUCGGAUUGUAAACUUCUUUUAUUAAGGACGAAAAAUGACGGUACCUAAUGAAUAAGCUCCGGCUAACUACGUG
rnacentral:rRNA from 1 species